CACUAUCAAUGCACAUACUUUUCGAAUCAACUUCAUAAGAAGAACAAAUCCCAGGAUCACUAUAAACCCUGCUAGUGUUGGCUCGUCCGGAUGAUCCAAGCUUGUAUAGUCAUUUAGUCAAUAAUUUUCAUUCGAAUGUGUAGAUCUUCUUACACCUCCGAUUGGCCAAAUUACGGAUGGAAUUCCAUACGGGACAUCACAAAAAUCACUUCAAUCCAUUAUUUAUA
rnacentral:lncRNA from 1 species